rnacentral:lncRNA from 1 species
GUACACCGACGAGCUGAUUCCACCUCAUUGUCGACAGAUUGUCGUUGUCGACGUAUUUGACCACGCUUACGUCCUUGUCCACGUGGCAUUUCUGGAAAAAAUCAUGACAUAAUUAUAUUAACUAUAACAAAAAAAGAUCAUCACAUAAAAAAUCAUUAUAUUUUGAACUAACUUACAAUCAUACUAAAAUCCUUCAUCGUCACUUAUAAAUUCAUUAUCGGAUUCGAUAUCUACAUUAUCUAAUUCAAUAUCGUUGUCAACAUUUGUUUCUUCAAGAACGUGAUUUACACUCAAAGAUACAUCAUCAAUCCUGUCAUCGUUGAUUGCAUUCACAUCAAAUUCAUUAAAAUCGUCUUGAUAUGUAUCUAAAUCUUUUUCUGAAACGUCAAUGACAUUUCGAGCUUUUGUUCUAAGCACCGUAUACCAAUCGGUUGAUUUUCCGGAUACAUUCGGUAUAUAACAAACUUGCUCAGAUUGCCAAGAAAAAAUGAACGGCUCGUAUGUUUUUUGUUUAGAAUGUGUGUCAAUUGGCACUGUUUUGAACUUGUCUAUUUUGAUUCCUUUGUGAAUAUCAUACCAAAUAUAGUUAAACAUCGAAAAUCGAGUAUCAUCACCCAGAAAUUCAAGUUCGAUAAUUUCCUGAAGAACUCCAUAAUAAUUAUCUCCAUCAUCUCCAUAAAAAGAAGUCCCACGAAACAUGACACUACAAUUUUGCGACGUUUUGCUUUUGUCUUCAUUUUGCACAUGAAAUCUAAAUCCAUUGGUAAUAUAUUUUUUAUAACAUGUAACUUCUCUAUGAGGACCUUUCGAAAGAAUACGCAACCGUUGAUCUUGUUGACCAUGCUUUCGAAAGCACGACCUGGUUGAGUAAAUAUUGAUAAACGACCACCAGAUUCGAUUUCCCCACCAUCAAAAUUCCUUGAUUUUCUACUAAAUUUUGAUAUGAACAUACUAUCGAAGUACAUCGAGAAAAAUGUCCCUAGUUUUUCAGCAAUAUAAACCUCUGCAAUAGACCCUUCAACGCAUGUCUUAUUACGGACUUUCUUUUUUAAGAAAAACAUAAAUCUGUAAAUAAAAAUUAUAUUUAUAUCAUAUAAAUAUAUAAUUUGCAAUAUUGAUUGUUCGCAAAAGAGAAUUACCGUUCAUAAGGAUACAUCCACCUAUAUUGCACUGGUCCCCUAACUUCAGCUUCAUAUGGAAGAUGGAUCAACAAAUGCUCCAUUGAAUCAAAAAAAGAAGGUGGAAAUAUCUUUUCCAAUCUACAUAUCGUCUCUACAAUUGAUUCCCCAAGUUUGUUCAUUUCAUUUUCUUUAAGUGUUGGAGAACAUAUGUUGCUGAAGAAACGACUAACUUCGGUAAAUACAUUAGUAAAUUCUUUUGGUAAAAAAUUAUCAAAAGCGAUAGACAAUAAUCUCUGCAUGAAUACGUGACAAUCAUGACUUUUCAUUCCCGUGAUAGUAUUUUCAUUGAUUUUGACACAUUUAGAGAUGUUUGACACAACCAUCGGAAAAACGAAGUAGAGAAACCCAUUCACACACUUUUUUUAUUUGAAAUUUUUCCAAUACAUACGAUGCUUUCGGAACAAAUAUUUUAUCUCCAAUCUCUCGAGGGUGUAAGUCAUGUCGAAUAUCUAAUUCUAUAAGGUCUUUGCGGCUUUUGAGAUUAUCUUUGCUUUUCAUCUUCACAUUCAUUACUGUAUUGAAAAUAUUAUCAAAAAUAUUUUUCUCAACAUGCAUUACAUCAACAUUGUAACGAAAAAGUAAUGAACUCCAAUACGGCAAUUCGAAAAAAUACUUCUUUUCGUCCAAUUGUGUGUCUUUCCAAAAUUUGUCAAUUUUCUUUUAUCAUUACUUGCUCCAAAAAACACAUCAUCUUUUAAAGGUAAACAUAAUUCUAUUUUUUUCCAUCAAUACAUUCAAUUGGUGUGUCUUUCUCAACUCUCUUUAGAAAUUUAUUUUUUUGUCGUCGAAAUGAAUGAUGUUCGGGAAGAAAUCGACGGUGACAAUCGAAAAAACAAGAUUUUCCACUAUUUGUCAAAUAAAAUGAUUUAGUCUUUUCCAUACAAUAUGGAUAUGAUAACUUCCCAUGUGUACUCCAACCAGACAACAUUGUAUAGGCUGGAAAAUCAGAAAUAGUCCAUAAAAGUGAUGCUCUCAUUGUAAAAUUUGACUUACUAAAGGCAUCGUACGUCCCGAUACCUUCAAUCCAUAGUAGUUUAAGCUCAUCAAUCAAUGGUUCCAAAUAAACGUCAAUUUCUUUUUUUGGACCUUUAGGACCGGGAAUCAACAUAGUUAAGAACAUAAAUUGUUGUUUGUUAUACAUCCACGGAGGAAGGUUGUACGGUGUGACGAUCACUGGCCAUAAAGAGUAUUGUGAUGAAGAAUGACCGAAAGGAUUGAAUCCAUCUGUAGAAAGACCAAGCCUCACAUUUCGACCAUCAGAUGCAAAUCUAGGAUGAAUACUAUCAAAAUGCUUCUAAGCUUUGCCAUCAGACGGAUGUCGUAACUCAUUAGGGACCUCUUGACGUCGUGUACUGUGCCAUACCAUUUCUUUCGCAAUCCUUGAACAAUGGUAUAGUCGUUGUAGUCGAGGGAUCAAAGGAAAAUAACGAAGAAUUUUAACGGAAAUAUCACGACCACCGCUUGUCCGUGUCUUAAACCUUGGUUCACGGCAUGUCGGGCAUUCAGUUAACUCUUUAUAUUCUUUUCGAUACAAUAUACAAUUGUUCGUGCAUGCAUCUAUUUUUUCAUAUUUCAAACCAAGGUUUUUCAAUUUUUGUUUAGCCUUAUAAAACGUAUCUGGAAGCUUGUUAGGUUUUGGUAUGAUUUUCUGAAUAGUUUUCAUCAAGGUAUCGUAGACUUCCACAGAUAGUCCAUAGGAUGAUUUAAGAUACAUUAAUUCUGUCAAGAUCUCCAAAAUAGAUGCAUCGCAACCUUCAUAUACUUUCGCAUAACCAGAAUUUAGCAAAUCGUAAAACUUUUGGGCUUCAUCAUUCGGUUCUUCAUCAUGUAAAUCAAAUGGUUUACUUGCAUCGUGGACCAUGUCGACAAAUGGAUUAGUGUUCAUACGUUCAUCAUCGACCAUUUCAACAUCAUUUAUAGUGAUGCAUUUAUCUACACGUACUCUUUUCCUUGGUUCUCCAUGUCGGUCCCAAUUAGUGUAAUCACUCAUAAAACCGGACUUGUAAAGAUGAACUGUCAUUAUAUCUCUAACUUACUUAUUUAAACAACAACUACUGUAAAGAGUUAAAAUACUAUAAAGGUUAUCUUAAAAAUGUACCCAUAAUAUCAAGUAUAAAUAUAGGCUUAAUGUGUAAUAAUAUUCUUAAGUUGAAUGUUUAAUUUUGUGAGUCAAUUAAAGAGUGAAAGAUUCUUGCUUUACUCUUCUUUUUCUAAUUGACCUAACAACUUCCAUCCACCCCCUUUCUUCUAUCUUCUUCUUCUAUCAUUUUCUUGUUAAUUGAUGGCUAUAAAGGAAACCUCUCCAGAAUUCUACAUGGUAUCAAGAGCUUCAGUUUUUGCGAUCAAAACUAGGGCACGGCUUUUGUAAUCAAAGGUUGGAGCGGUUUCUCGUCGAUUUUUUCUCAAGAUCGGCUACAGCGCGUGGUUUUUCUUCUUCUCGCCGAUUGAUUGCAAUCUGCGAUUGCAACUCUGGUUUAAAUUUUUUUUUUCACUUUUCUGUUAUCUGCGAUUGCAAGUUAUUGAACCAUUGAUUUCUAAAAUUUUAAUCAGAUUCUUUUAGUGUUUGAAAUUUUCAAUCAGUUUUCGCGUUCGGCGUAUGCGUCUCACAAGAGGAACGAUGGCAUAGUGCUCAGCUGGAUUAAAGCCACGGUAUGUAAGGAAAUUCAGCCUCUACUUUUACCUUGUGUUACUGCAUAUGAGGCAUGGCAUAUCUUAGAAACAAAUAUUUCGCCUAUUGAUAAAAAUCAAAUUCAAGCUCUUCGUGAUGAGUUGAAUUCACUAAGGAAGACAACAGAUAUUUCAAUGAAAGAAUAUAUUUUCAAGAUUAAAAGUUUGAAACACUCUCUAGCAGCAGCAGGAUAUUCAAUGUCUGAUGAAAGAGUGUCAGAGUAUGUUCUCAGAGGUCUUGGACCUGAAUUCCGUAUGUUUAGGACAUCUCUGAAUUUUCAGAAGGAUAUUACUUUUACAGAACUUGCAGAUGCUCUUAUUAAAGAAGAAAUUUUGAUAAAAUAACUGGAUCAACCAACAACUGAAGGGGAUUAUCAGGUGCAUUAUUCCAAUUAUAAUAGGAAUAAUUUCAAUAGAAAUGCUAAAUUUUAUCCAGGAAAAGGCAAGAAUGGUGGUUCUUAUUAUAAACCAUCAUACAAAAAUCAAGGAACAAUGGUCAUAACUGUUCCUCCUCAAAUUGCUCAGAAUAAUUUGCCUUCCAUUCUGAAUCUACCAUCUUCACAGGACAACACAUCUGCUUGUCAGAUUUGUGAGAAAAAAGGACAUCUGGCUAGAAAUUGCCCAGAUAGAGGUAAUUUUGCUGCCUAUGCCAUGGAGGAUGAUUAUGAUACUCAGAUAACUGGAAAUGAAGAAGAAGCAGCAGCACAUUCUGUAACAGUCCAAGAUUUGGACUGGUGUCUUGACUCAGGAGCUAAUAAUCACAUGGUAGCUGAUGAAGCUUUGCUCCAUGACUGCCAGACCUAUACAGGUAUUGGGUGUGUUGUGAUUGGAUCNNNNNNNNNNNNNNNNNNNNNNNNNNNNNNNNNNNNNNNNNNNNNNNNNNNNNNNNNNNNNNNNNNNNNNNNNNNNNNNNNNNNNNNNNNNNNNNNNNNNUACGCUUAAUAGAGUUUUAUGUGUGCCUAAGAUUAAGAAAAAUCUAAUUUCUGUGACUAAACUAUGUAGUGAUUUGAACUGUUAUAUACAGAUUUCACAGAAGGAAUUUUCAGUGAAGAGCCUGAAGAUGCAUCGGACGCUUUUUUCUGGAAUUAAUAAAAGAGGGCUAUACUAUUUCAGCCCGGACAUCAACUGUAAUUUUGGCAUCAAGGUCUCUUCAGAUACAUGGCACAAAAGACUAGGACAUCCUUCUCUCAAAAUCAUGGAUAAAAUAGGACAUGUAUUAGGAUUAAACAAUUCAGAUUUAAAAUCCUUAGAAUUUUGUAAUAACUGCCCUAUGGCAAAAAUGUCAAAAUUACCUUUUUCUUGUAAUGAAAUAAAAACUUCUUUUCCAUUGGAGAUAAUACAUAUAGAUCUAUGGGGUCCAGCCCCAAUUGUUUCAAUGAAAAAUUAUAAUUUUUUUGCAACAAUUGUAGAUAAUAAAACAAGGUAUACAUGGAUUAUACUAUUAAGGGCUAAAAGUGAAUUUACUGAUCAGUUUAUUCUAUUUCAGAAAAAUAUAGAAAACCAGUUAGGGCUAAAAAUUAAGAAAAUUUAUUCAGAUGAGGGUGGUGAAUUUCUUAGUACCAAGCUGAAAACUUGGCUAGGACAAAAAGGAAUAACACAUAGAUUCUCAUGUCCCUAUACACCUCAACAAAAUGGGAUUGUUGAGAGGAAACAUAGACACCUGCUUGAGACCAGCAGAUGUUUUUUUACUCAAUCCGGAAUUCCAAAAAAUAUGUGGCCAGAGGUCAUCUCUGCAGCAUGUUUUCUGAUAAAUAGGUUACCUAGUUCUGUUUUAGGGUUCAUAUCUCCCUUUGAGAUGUUAACCAAAAAUAAACCAGAUUAUAAAAUACUGAAAUUAUUUGGUUGUUCAUGUUAUCCCUUAAUAAGUAAAGGAUUAAGGAAUAAAUUUGAACCUACUGCCUAUAAAUGUGUCUUUAUAGGGUAUUCAAACAAACACAAAGGAUAUAUGUGUUUAAAGUUAAAAGACAAUAAAGUCAUUAUAUUUCGAAAUGUCAAAUUCAAUGAAAAUGAGUAUCCUUUUUUAACUAAAACAGAUACUAAAACAGUAAAGAAGCCUGAAAAGCAAAUGAUAAUACUUCCAAUAAAGACUAGCUACUACAAUAAAUUUUGGCUUUCCUAUAAAUACAGGAAACUCAAACAGUGAGUUAAGGGUAGAACCAGAUUUGUCAAGUCCUGUAAGGAGAGUCACUCACUCACAACAGAACAACUCUACAAAUGACUCAAUGGAUAUAAUCUUAGAGUCAACUGAGAUAAGUAGCUCAGUACCCCAGACCAUGAGAGUUGAGUCUGAUAUACAAUCUAACACUAGAAGUGAGGUAAGGCAACAAAGAGAUAUUUCUGAGAAUCAAACAAACACAGUUUGUAACUCAAUACCACGAGAUAUAAGUAGUAGAUCUGAAGAACCAAUCAACACAGGAGGUAGAUAUCCAACUAGAGAUAGAAAAGCACCAAAUUUUUUAGAAAAUUAUGAGUGUAAUUCUUGCUCUGGCGAAGAGAUAGAACCAUCCACCUUCAGUGAGGCAAGUAAAGAACCUAAGUGGAAGGAAGCAAUGCAAGAGGAACUAGAUGCAUUGAAGAUUAACAAAACAUGGACUUUAGUACCAAAAAAUUCGUCAAUGAAUAUAGUAGGUUGUAAGUGGAUCUAUAAAAUUAAAAAGAACUCAGAUGGUUCAAUAGAAAGGUAUAAAGCUAGAUUAGUAGCUAAGGGCUACAAUCAGGAGGAAAGAGUGGACUAUACAGAGACUUACAGUCCAGUAAUUAGGAUGAAUACAGUAAGAUCAAUCAUUUCAAUUGCUGUGACAUAUAACUGGCAGCUAAGACAACUGGAUAUCAAAAAUGCCUUCCUAAAUGGCUUUCUAAACGAAACAGUAUACAUGAGACAACCAACUGGGUUUCAUAAUAAGAAUUAUCCAGAUCAUGUGUGUCUAUUACAUAAGGCUCUAUAUGGCUUAAAACAAGCACCCAGAGCCUGGUACUCAAGACUUCAAAAUUUUCUAGUUGAAAACGAAUUCAAAAAUAGUCUUACAGAUUCCUCAUUGUUCCUCAAAGUGAACAAUGGACAUAGAAUCUACAUACUAGUCUAUGUAGAUGAUAUUAUAAUUACUGGGAAUUCUAGUGAGGAAGUAAAUAGGUGCAUAGAAUUAAUAUGUAAACAAUUUUCAUGUAGAGACCUAGGGCUUCUUAACUAUUUUUUAGGAAUGGAAUGUAUAAGACAAGGGAAAACCAUAAUUCUAAGUCAAGAAAAAUAUGUGUCUGAUAUAUUGAAAAAAUUCAAUAUGAUGGACUGCACACCAUGGUGAUUGACGGACGGACUCUUGACUCUCAGUGAUCUCUCAAUGCUCNNNNNNNNNNNNNNNNNNNNNNNNNNNNNNNNNNNNNNNNNNNNNNNNNNNNNNNNNNNNNNNNNNNNNNNNNNNNNNNNNNNNNNNNNNNNNNNNNNNNNNNNNGGUGUGCUGGAAAUUUGGUGGCCUGGGCAUUAAAGAAACAGGCAGUGGUAUCAAAAUCGAGCUGUGAGGCUGAAUACAGGGCACUAUCUGGGAUAACUUCAGAAGUUAAGUGGUUCUGUAAUUUGUUUAGGGAACUGGAGAUUAGGUUUGAGACAGCUCCACAAAUAUUAUGUGAUAAUAAAUCAGCAAUUUUUCUCACUAAAAAUCCAUCAUCAAACCUGAAAACUAGACAUAUAGACAUCUCACACCAUUUUAUUAGAGAGCUGGUGAUGAAAGGGGCAAUAAAAGUAGAUUAUAUUGUUGCUAGUCAACAACUAACAGAUGGUUUCACUACAGGGCAAUUCAUGGUUCACAGGGAUAGGCAUAAACUAGUACCAACCAGUCCUGAUCCUAGAAUCCUAAUGAAGGACAAGAGUAGGGUAACAAAAUCGCAGGAAAUAAGUAAACUAAAGCUAAUUAAGGAGGCUUAGAAGAAAUGAUCUGAGUGCUGAUAAUAGUUGUGUAAGGUAGUAGAAAUCUGGGAUUUCUGUUACCUAUUGUAGGAAAACAUUGUCACUAGGAUAAUGUAAAUACUCAUCACUGGAAUGUUGGGAACAUAGCAGUGAGUAAUUUGAUUCGGGAGAAUCACCUAAGUAUGAUACUAGUAAAUAUCUUUAUUAUUAGUUUCUGCUCUAUGGGGUAAUAAGUCUGUACAAGUCAGGUUAUUACAAAUAGAGACUGUGAAAUAAAUAAAUCAUGAAUAAUAAACUAAUGACUAUAUAAGGGAGAUUAUAAUACUGAGUAUUAGUUUAUAUAUAUAUAUAUAUAUAUAUAUAUAUAUAAUAUAAUAAUAAUGAAAAUACAAUUAGAUGUAUAUGAUUAUGAAUAACAUAUAUCUGACGUGUUGUAUUUCUGAUUUCUGUUCUUAUAAAAAUACUUGUAUUCAUAUUAGGAAAUGUUAGAUAAAUAUGAUGUUGAGAAUUGCAGGGUGAUAAUCUGAAAUAUGUUCUAAAACUAUUUCUAGUUUGGUUUGAUACAUAAUUUUUUUAAGGAAUGGUCUAUAUUUUUCUGGUUUGGUUUGGGGGAAUGGUUACUGUGGAUGUAUGUUUGUGUGGUUGCAUGUCAUACUAAGAUAGGUCAUGCCCAAAUAGCUGGAAAUUUAAUCUGGAGUAGUAAAUGUGAAACCUAGAGCAGUAGGAGCUUUGAGAAUGAGCAGCGAGUUUUUUUUCUUUCCUUUCUUUCUUUCUUUCUUUCUUUCAGGGUCUUAAUUGGUAUAACAGGAGGGUUUUCCCAGUAAAAAUGAAAGAAAGAGGAGCAAAAAUAAGAAUCCCAGCUGGGUUUUUCGCCCCCCUGUUAGCUCAAUUAAUUCAUAGCUGAGUUAGUUCACAAGGCUGCUAAGGAGGUGGACAGACAAGUUGAUGAUCGUACUCAUGUUCAAAUUCACAACUCAGUAUUGCAUUCUGGAGUUGUCAAUUUGCGGGGGAAUGUAAAGAGUUAAAAUACUAUAAAGGUUAUCUUAUAAAUGUACCUAUAAUAUCAAGUAUAAAUAUAGGCUUAAUGUAUAAUAAUAUUCUUAAGUUGAAUGUUUCAUUUUGCGAGUCAAUUAAAGAGUGAAAGAUUCUUGCUUUACUCUUCUUUUUCUAAUUGACCUAACAACUUCCAUCCACUCCCUUUCUUCUAUCUUCUUCUUCUAUCAUUUUCUUGUUAAUUGAUGGCUAUAAAGGAAACCUCUCCAGAAUUCUACAACUACUACAAGGGCAUUUCAUUUUUCCAUCUUCACGUGUCAUAAUUGACUCUGAGAAUGCAAAGUUUAGAAACCGCUCGACGCCAUUGAGAAAUGAAUCGGUAAUUUGAUUUUUCUUAUUUAGUCGGUUGUACAUCCAAUUUCGAUCAUUGUCGACCAUUCUAUAAAAUAAUUGAAACAUGCAAAAAUGAGUUGCAUGUCCGCAUGAGUUUCAUGAAAAAUAUAUCAUGAAAAAUAAAAAAAUAAAUCAUAAUAAGAAAGGCUCAGCUCGGCUCGGGCUCAGCUAGGGCUUGGCAGGCUCAGCUCGGCUCAGCUUGGCUCGGCUCAGUUCGGCUUGGCUUGGCUCAGCUCAGCUCAGCUCAGCUCGGGCUCGGCAGGCUCAGCUCUGCCUGCCGACAGAAUUUUUCUAAGGUUCUUUUUUUCUUAGUGAAAUUAAUAGCUAUCUACUUGUAAACAAUGGAAAUAAGAUAGUAUUAUCUGAUUCAUGGGGAUACAUAAAAUUAAAGAUUUUUAAUGAAAUUAAAGAUUUUCUUUUCAUUUAGAAAGAAAGAAAAAUGAAAUUUAUUACAUGGGUUGCAUUUUAUUUAUUACAUGGCUUGCAUUUUUAAAAGAUUUUCAUGGGGCCGGGAUUCAUGCAUUGGGUUGCAUUUUAUUGGGAAGUUAAAACAAAAUUGGGAAGUUAAAACACCAAAUUGGGAAGUUAAAACAAAAACCCCAACUGAAAUAAUUUAAAUAAUAAAUUGGGAAGAUAAUUUAAAUACCUUCACUAUCUUUAUUCUCCACGAUCCAAAUACCUAAGAAUGUGAUCAAGGGAUAUGAAAAUUAAUAAUGGUAUCAUAUUAUGAUAGUUAGAGAAAAUGGGGGUAAAGUGGUUGAACCAAGCAAAAAUGAGAUUAUCAGUGGUUUUUAACAUAAUCAGAUUAUAUGCAUCACCAUUUCAAUUAAAAAAUGCCACUCUAUAAUGAAGGAUAUCCCACAACAUAUGUUCUUAAAAUAUACAUAUUUAAAAUUGACACUUGACACUGAAACACAUGUAGAAUAUUAGCUUAAAAUUGAGAUCUAAAUAAAUUGCGCAACUCAUCAACAUAAGGCCAUAUUUUCAUAAGAUGUUGAUUGAGCCAUUUCACAUGCACAAAUAAGAUAAAAACAUAUAUAUCCACUGUGCUGGGUAUAAUCAACAAGAUAAACUUAC